AGACUCACAAAGUGGCAGUGAAAUGGUACUGUGUUUGAUAUCGCAUAUCACAGCCAGCUUUGAUGAGCUGGA
rnacentral:pre_miRNA from 14 species